rnacentral:rRNA from 1 species
UACGUAGGCAGCAAGCGUUGUUCGGAUUCAUUGGGCGUAAAGGGUGCGUAGGUGGCAGGGUAAGUCGGAUGUGAAAUCCCGGAGCUCAACUUCGGAAUUGCCUCCGAUACUGCCGUGCUUGAGGACUGGAGAGGAGAUUGAAUUCCAGGUGUAGCGGUGAAAUGCGUAGAUAUCUGGAGGAACACCGAUGGCGAAGGCAGCCCCCUGGGCCCAAUACUGACGCUCAUGCACCGAAAGC